UACGUAGGGACCGAGCGUUGUCCGGAUUCAUUGGGCGUAAAGAGCUCGUAGGCGGCCAACUAAGUCAGACGUGAAAUCCCUCGGCUUAACCGGGGAACUGCGUCUGAUACUGGAUGGCUUGAGUUCGGGAGAGGGAUGCGGAAUUCCAGGUGUAGCGGUGAAAUGCGUAGAUAUCUGGAGGAAUACCGGUGGCGAAGGCGGCAUCCUGGACCGGCAUUGACGCUGAUGAGCGAAAGCUAGGGGAGCAAACGGG
rnacentral:rRNA from 1 species